rnacentral:tRNA from 1 species
GGGAGUGUGCCCGAGCGGCCAAAGGGAACAGACUGUAAAUCUGUCGGCGUAUGCCUACGGUGGUUCGAAUCCACCCGCUCCCA